UGUUCAGGCGGUUUGGAAAGUCGGGCAUGAAAUCUCUUGGCUCAACCAGGAGAGGCUGUCCGAUACUUCCAGACUUGAGGGCAACAGAGGGCGGUGGAAUUCCGGGUGUAGUGGUAAAAAUGCGUAGAUAUCCGGAGGAACACCAGUGGCGAAAGCGGCCGCCUGGGUUGCAUCUGACGCUAAAACACGAAGGCUAGGGCAGAGAACGGGAUUAGAAACCCCGGUAUUCCUAGCAGUAAACGAUGUUGACUAGGUGUCGGGAGUGUAAAAACUCUCGGUGUCGUAGCAAACGCGUUAAGUCAACCGCCUGGGGACUACGGCCGCAAGGUUAAA
rnacentral:rRNA from 1 species